rnacentral:lncRNA from 1 species
GGAGGAAGAAUCCCGGAAGCUGCCACAUGAUAUUUCUGCUUACGUAGCAUUUCACGCAGAAUACUGGGGAGUCAAAACUUUGUGCCCGCAACUCUGGGAAUGAUUUAAAGGCUGAUCCCUGACCAUUUUGAAAUUAUACCAUUUGGUAGACAAUCAAAUGCCCCUGCUGACUCUACUCAUGAUUGUUCUCAAGGAGUCCCUGAAGUGGAGCCUAAACCUUCAAACCAUGAGUCCAAAUUUAUAGGGAUAAAGAUGAAUUCAUACUCAUGUAUUUAUUAUCUUAAAAGAAAACCAAAUAAGCAAAGAAAUAUUUUAAUCAGACAAUGGGCAAUGUUAAGGAAUGGGAAUAUAGUUGCAGGACAUGGAUGACAUUAUAGAUGUUGCAUAAUGGAAGAAAAAAAGAUUGUGACAGACCUAUAAAAAAUGUCACCUCAGGAUUCUAUUAACAUAAUUAAAUUCUCAAUGCUUCUGAAAAUAGAAGCUCCUUAGCAUGCUACACAAAAGAAAAGAGGACUGCCUUACUACUAGGGAAUUGCUGUUGUGAUUUGCAAUCUGAGGUCUGUAAGUUUGCCGUGUUGAUGUUUUCAAUUUGUAGUCUAUGCAUUUGAAAGUUUCUGUUGAGAAUGUUUGCAUUUAUAGUCUACUAGAUAGCAGACGGUAUGCUGACGUCUAAGUUCGC